rnacentral:rRNA from 1 species
GACGAACGCUGGCGGCGUGCUUAACACAUGCAAGUCGAACGGUGAAGCCUUCGGGUGGAUCAGUGGCGAACGGGUGAGUAACACGUGAGCAAUCUGCCCUUGACUCUGGGAUAACUUCGGGAAACCGGAGCUAAUACCGGAUAUGACAUCUGGCCGCAUGGUCUGGGUGCGGAAAGAUUUAUCGGUCAAGGAUGAGCUCGCGGCCUAUCAGCUUG